AAACAGCUGCCAUUAUCUGCAAACAGCAGCUUCAGGCAAGAAGUGGGUUUUCAGUGAUUGAAUGGUACAGGGAAUUGCACCCCCUUCCCUGCAUUAUGGUCCCGAUCUGGAAUCGCUCCCUCUUGCACGCAAAAUAAAUAGAUUGUAAAUAAAAAGACACAGGGAAUCUCAACGCGGGAUUCAAGGACUUAAUGUAGCAUGUUGAUAGAAAGAAAAUAUGGAGCCUAUCUGAAACAAAUCAAGGUUUUCUUGUGGCUUUUGAUGUGGAUUCUAUGGGGUCUGUGCAUGCCCAGGACAAUGCACACUGCACAGAGCAGCCUAGAGGAGAACAACCCCACUCCCAGCAAGCAGCUUGCAUAGCAUGCAGGUUCCAUGGAGCAGAGUGAGUAGCUGUGUGCUUUGUGCCAAGUCUGGAGCCAAAGUGCUGGCAGAUACCUAGAACAGGUGGACCUCCUGGUCCUGGUGGGCACCAAGUCCCAUCACCCUUGACCAAUGGUCAGGGUGAUAAUGGGGGUUGUAGUUCAGCAGUACCUGGAGGUCUGCAGGUUCCCCUUCCCUGGGCUAGAACAGAUGAUCAGGGCAGAAGUAGUUUCUCAGAGAGGAGUGUAGCAGGUGUGAAAGAUUUGCAGCAGAACAGAGUUGCUAGUGUUUCUACUAAAAUUGCCUGCGGUUCCUUCCUCCAAACGGCACCUAGGGUGGCUUGGUGAGUAGGGAAUCUGUGCCUGAAUGGCUGUGCUCCUGAUUUGAUCCCAACAACAACAACAACAACAACAACAACAAUAACAAUGCUGUUCCUGACCAUGAGAACCUCUGUAGCAGCAAAAGUAAUGAUGGAACACAGAAUUGCACAAUGGUCCACUCAAAGAUCAGUGGAAAGGAAGCAGUCUUUCCAAGUUGCCACAAGAAAGUUUUGCUCGAAAUAAGUAGAACUGGGUUGUGGGGCUGCAAAUGGCCUGCUCUCACCCAGAUUGGAGUGGAUUUUUGCACCAGGUAAAGCAUAGUAUCAUAUGGGCAGGUCAUGUAUACGUGACCAUGUGGGGAACAGCGUAACCAUGAUUAAAGGGUCCCUGCCAAAGGGGCAUUUGUAGCAUUUCUGGAACUCCAGAAACGAAAGGAAAAGGGAAAAGACCAUUGAGCUCUUUUCAUGACUUAACAGCAAGGUGCUGUGUUUACUACAGGAGAUAAUACUUGUGGGUUUAAUUGCUAAUUUGGCAUCAAUUGUUGUGGUCUAGGUUUUUCUCUUAGCUUUAUAGGCUGUUUACUUCAUAAGGGUUUAAAUUUUUUUAAAAAAAAAAUUAACUAUUUUAAAGGUAUGGUAGUAAGCUCUUUAAGAGGGCAUGGUAGCUGAGUUGUUGCCACAAACUGCAUUUUAUGAUAUGUCUGUGGAUUGUUCUUUAAUUGUAGUGAAGUAACAUAUUGUAUUGAUUUACCAUUAUCUGUGAAAUAUAAUUUUUAGAAUGUGAGUGUGAAUGUUAUUUUCAGUGAGCGUUAAAUGUUUUACAUCUUUGUGUCGAACAUAGAAUUACGGUUGUUUGGGUUUUAUUUUUUAAAAACUACUUUUGUUUCUGGAUUUGCUCUCAUUUUGUCAUGUACACGUGAGAAAAGAAAACUUUCAUCUGGAGAACUUUCUAAGACAAAGUGUGAAUAUUAUUUUUAUGAGUCCUUUCUACAGUAUUCAAAGACAAACCAAUUAAAAAAAUCAGUAUUCAUGUAA